GCGGCCUGCUGGAAAAUGCGAACUGUAGCGAAAUACAUAGGCGACAGCGGUGGUGACCCGUUGGUGUGGUCAGAUUUUAACGCGCAGGUGGACAUCUGUCCGCCGUCGGCGAGGUAGGAAUUGAAUGCAGGGUCCAGUGUCUUCUCCACCUAGGGCGUGCUCAUCUGGGAGCUGGCUACCGCGGCAUGGAGAGAUGAAGCACCGGCGGCGAGCCACCAUGGAGUUCCUGAUGCAGCCAAUCGGAAGAUCCAGUCUGCUAGAGGAAGUAGGGGAGAGUUUGGUGGAGUAGUAGGUGAUGGAGCAGCGGCGGGUAGUGGCUAGCGCUGAUGCGCAGACUAUGGCGGCCAAGGAACCGGCGGUGCACAGGAGGGAGAGCUCACUUCCAACGUCAGAGCUGUCAACGGGGAGGUUGAAUCCUCGGGCGCCCGGAUGGAACAAUAGGCCGAGGAUAGGUGCUAGCAGAACCCCUUGCCAAAUCGGAUCAGUCCAUUUGAGAAGGCUGUCAGGUGUUAUGCUGACAACCUAGCUGAAAAUGUCAUCACACCAGUUCUUGGGACUGGUUUUGACUCUUUGGGCGACGCGUACGACUUCUAAAAUCUGUACUCUUGUGAGAAGGGCUUUGCAAUCCGACUUGUAAAAUCUGUACUCUUGUGAGAAGGGCUUUGCAAUCCGAUAUGGGAAGAGCCAGCUUAAUGUGGAGAGGAUGAAAUUCAUGAAGGUAAUGGUGUGUGGCUGUUCGGGUAAAGCUGGUGUUGAGAAAACGAGGUCUUGUUGAUGUGAGUGCCCUGCUCUGAUAAGGAUACUACGAUCAGAGAACAAUGGCUGAUAUAUUGCAGAGCAUAGAGUCACAACCAUUCGCUUUCGCCUAAUUUUGGUGAGACAAUCCAUUGGCCAACGCACAAGCACAUAGACGUGUGCAGCGGAGAUAUUGUGAAGUAGUUGAGGCAGAACAAUGUGAACCUCGCUAAGAUGAUGUAAUGAUGACAAUCAGAAGACAAGAAAUAGAGCGAAAGGGAUACAUUUUCUUCAUUGACUUGAUACUCACCAGUGAAUACAUUCUCUUCAUUGAUUCCAAAUUCAAUUCUAGUGUGUACUCUUAUACCUCCUCUCGAAUAUUUUUCUUGUCUGAUACGCGAUUCAUAUUUUAUCGUCCUCUUGAAAGCGUUGUAGGUCUCAGACGUUCGUCCAUCUUGCUACCAUCUAUUCGGAAAGGCAUAUGGUUGCCGACAGUAAUGGAAGAAGAUUGGUGUAUGUUUCCUGGACCACAAGUAAUCUGCUUGCAUGACUCAUGUUUUGAUUUGAGUUACAGAUGAUGUAUUUUGCAACCAACCAUUGUCCUGUUCGUGUGGAUUACCAGCUGAAGCACACUCCCGUCUCUCGAGCAUUCAAGCAAGUAAGCUUCCUUAUGCGUUCCAUGGAUGAUUGGGCAUCGGAGUUACCACUUAAUUGUGUGCAUGCUUUUGCUGUUGCAAUUUAAAGUGGACCACCCAGAGGUGCAUUUGCACUCAUUUUUGACCAUGAAAUAAACCAUCCACAAUCAAAUUGGAGACCUUUGUAAUGUGGGUACUCUUGUGUCAGUCAUACCAUAAAGGGUUGACUAGGUGGCUAGUUUUCACUAACCUAACAUGCUGACCUGACAGGCACGCGAAGUUGCAUUGGUAAGCAGGUUUUUAUGAAGUUCUUUCCUCUUGGCAUGGUUAGGGCUAGUAGGAGAAUAAAUUAGCAAAGCUAUCAUGAUCAAGAAGAGGUGACCGAGAGCGACGAACUGAUCUAGGGACUGCAGACCAGUGUGCCGUACAAGCGCUAACUUCAUUUUUUUAAAAUUACCUGUAGAAUUGACAGAACAUGUAUAAAUUCCAUACCUUUCUGGAACCAGUGCAUGGACUAAAUUUGUGGACAUGUCUGGGCAAAUACUUUUUCAUAAUUAUGGCGUGAUUAAAGCCACUCCAAUAUGCAUGGAAUGCUUAUU